CUGGAGAGCAGUUUGAUCUUAUUGAUAACAAAUUCUUGUGAUACUAGAAGUUUUGAAGUCUGUGGAACAAACUGAAAGGGGAAGAAAGAGGUCUGUUUUGGUUAUUCUGCAAUAGUUAUGAACUCCCGUUUACGAGCCUUAGGUGGGAGGAUAAAUAACAUACGAGCAUCAGAACUACCAAAAGAGAAAACCCGGUCAGAAAUAAUCUGUAAUGUCCACUUUUUGGAUGGCUCAGUACAAAGCUUCAAAGUCAACAAACAAGACACUGGACAGAUUUUGUUGGAUAUGACCUAUAACCAGCUGGGUGUGACAGAGAAGGAAUAUUUUGGUUUACAGCAAAAUGAGACUUCUGUAGAUUCACCUUUUUUCAUUUCACAGCGAUGGCUUGAACCAAGCAAACCUAUUAGAAAACAGUUAAAAGGAGGUUUUCCCUGCACACUUCAUUUUCGUGUAAGGUUUUUUAUACCUGAUCCUAACACACUUCAGCAAGAACAAACCAGGCACUUAUUCUUUCUGCAGUUGAAGACUGAUAUUGCAGAAGGAAGGUUGUCAUGCCCCAUUGAUUCUGCUGUUCUCCUGGCAUCUUAUGCAGUACAAUCACAACUUGGAGACUAUAAUGCUUCAGUGCAUUGUUCAGGAUAUCUGUCAAAUUUCAGCUUUAUACCGGAGCAGAACAAAGAUUUUCUUACCAAAGUGGAAACGCUACAUGAGCAACACAGUGGCCUCAAGCAAUCUGAAGCAGAGUCCUGCUAUAUAAAUAUAGCAAGAACACUUGAAUUCUAUGGAGUGGAAUUGCACAGUGGUAGAGAUCUCCAUAAUCUAGAUCUUAUGAUUGGAAUUGCAUCCAGUGGAAUUGCUGUAUAUAGAAAACUCAUCUGUACAAGCUUCUAUCCCUGGGUGAACAUAUUAAAAAUUUCCUUUAAAAGGAAAAAGUUUUUUAUACAACAACGGCAAAAACACAAUGAAUCCAGAGAGCAUAUUGUUGCCUUCAACAUGUUAAAUUACAGAGCAUGCAAAAAUCUUUGGAAAUCUUGUGUAGAGCAUCACACAUUUUUUCAGGCAAAGAAGUCACUACCUCAUGAAAAAAAGAUAUUAUCACAUUAUUGGACUUUGGGUUCUAGAAAUCCAGCAAAGUCUGUAAACAACCAGUACUGCAGAAAAGUGAUAGGUGGGAUGGUUUGGAACCCAUCUAUGAGACGAUCCUUAUCUGUUGAGCACCUAGAGACCAAAAGCCUUCCUUCUCGAUCACCUCCUGUUACCCCCAAUUGGCGGAGUCCUAGACUACGUCAUGAAAUCCGCAAACCACGACACUCAUCUGUAGAUAACCUCAUGAACGAGAUUAGUUACAUUACUGAGACAGAGGAUGUUUUUUACACAUAUAAGGGCUCUCCAACAUCAAAGGACAGUGAUUCAGAGUUCUCUCAGAAUCGUAGUCCACAGAGGAGGUCAUCUGAACAAGAAUCACCAAAGAAAGUGUUGGGAAACAGUCCGACGCAGAAUUCUCUGACCCAUCUCUCACCUAAAGCCUUGGCUCGGUCUCCCAAUGGAGUUGGCAACAUUUCUGGCUCCUACCCAUUGGAUGGGGUGGACAAGCAGUUCCUAGAAACGUACGACAACGUUACAAAAAGUAGCUCCACGGAAGAUUCCAGUCAGUACUACUGCGAUAAGAAUGACCUAAUUGAGGGAGAUUUACUUUUGGUGCGUAUCAUACCAGAUGAAGAAGGGAAGUUUGGAUUUAAUCUAAAGGGUGGAGUAGAUCAGAAAAUGCCACUGGUGGUAUCAAGAAUAACUCCAGGAUCGCCUGCUGAUAAAUGCAUUCCAAAGCUGAAUGAAGGUGAUCAGAUAGUAUUAAUUAAUGGCCGAGAUAUCUCAGAGCACACGCAUGACCAGGUGGUCAUGUUCAUAAGAGCCAGCAGAGAAUCUCACUCAAGAGAGCUUGCACUUUUGGUCAGGAGGAAAGUAGUCAAACAGUUUGUGGAGCCCAAGUCAGAAGAUGAAGCUGAUUCCCACACUCUGGCAGAAUGUAUUCUUCCUGUCUCUUCUGAAUAUGGUGGUGAUACACUGGAGGAGUCUAUGGAGCAGCUGAGAAGAGGGCUAGAAAGCGGAACUGUCCUUAUUCAGUUUGAGCAACUUUAUAGAAAGAAACCAGGAUUGGCUGUUACAUGUGCAAAGGUACCUCAGAAUAUGGACAAGAAUAGAUACAAAGAUGUUCUACCUUAUGAUGCCACAAGGAUAAUAUUGCAAGGAGAUGAAGAUUACAUUAAUGCAAAUUAUGUGAAUAUGGAAAUUCCUUCUGCUGGCAUUGUGAACCGGUACAUUGCUACUCAGGGGCCUCUUCCACACACAUGUGCACACUUCUGGCAAGUAGUCUGGGAUCACAAAUUAUCACUGAUCAUCAUGUUAACAACUCUCACCGAAAGAGGACGGACCAAAUGUCAUCAGUAUUGGCCUGACCCACCAGAUGUCAUGGAAUAUGGCUGCUUCCGUGUCAGAUGCCACGCUGAAGACUGCACAAUCGCUUAUGUUGUCAGAGAAAUGGUCAUUACAAACGUUGAGACAGAACAGCAACACACCGUCACCCAUCUCCAGUACGUAGCUUGGCCUGAUCAUGGCGUUCCUGAUGACUCCAUGGACUUCUUGGAGUUUGUGACCUGUAUGAGGCCAAAGAGAGUAAAGAAUGAGCCAGUUCUUGUUCACUGCAGUGCAGGAAUCGGUCGCACUGGAGUGUUGGUCACUAUGGAAACAGCCAUGUGUUUAAUUGAAAGGAACCAACCUGUUUAUCCACUGGAUAUUGUACGGAAAAUGCGAGACCAGAGAGCUAUGAUGGUGCAAACAUCAAGUCAAUACAAAUUUGUUUGUGAAGCUAUUCUUCGUGUUUACAAAGAAGGAUUGGUUCGACCACUGGAUUCCAGUUAGCACAGCAGUGAAGGAUGAGUUCUUUUUUCAGCUAAAAAAACUGCUCUUCAAGUAAAGCAAGGGCUUGUUUCUGAAAGCAACCAGAACGGACUAGAAGCCCAUGGAAAGACAGAUGAGCACAUUUGAACUGUGGCACUUUAAAUUUCUCACGAAGAUUGCUAAAUCAUGUACAGUGUAACAAAGUCACAUAGAUAAAUAUAUGACAGUAAUUGUGUGUAAUAUGCUUUAUUCCCAUAGACAACCAUAAACAAUCAUGGAAACCUUAACACAUAUCUUUCACUGCCUUAAAACACCCUUUACUUUGGAAGUUACAAAAUUCUUUGUAUUUCCUUUGAUAUAGCAAAAAGAAAACUCCUAUUAUUGAAACGAUUCAUCUUAAGGAUGUAUUUAAUGUAUUUGUGUCGUAUGAAAGUUCAUUGAAGGUGAAUAUUUGUAACUUUCUUAUUGGGACACUAAAUAUCCAUGGAACUGUAACCUUGACUAAAAGGCUGACUAAGAGCUUUAAAGGCUAAUGCAUAACUACUGUACACUGAGCUGGAGAAAUUUAGUAUUCAGUUACGGUAAAUCUAUUAGUGAGUAUGCCAGCUGUUAUAAUAUGCUGCUUAGGAAUCACAUCUACUGUAUGUGAUGUGAAAAUAAUGCUGCAUUUAGUUAUUUAUGCAGAUGGUACAGUCUACAUCUUCUGUUGCUCGAUUUUAGUUGCAACUUGCCCUUUUGACGAGGGCCUACUUCUUGCAGUUUUAGUUAUUGCAUCCCUUUUCUUUCGUUUCGGCUCUCUAUCUCCUUUUUACUUUUCCCUGCUGUUUCUAUAUGUGGACUGAAAACAUUUUAACUUAAAACGAGCUUUAAUUCUCUCUCAUGUUUGUUUCCAUGUGUAUUUAUGAGUUCUCAGAUGUAAACGUGGAUUAAUGUUGCACACAAGUACUAGACUUUUGACUUACUGUAUAUGCAAAGUAGUCUAAUCCAAUACUGGAAGAAAAAUUACUACUGAACCCAUCAAAUAUGUUGCUGCUAUUUCAAGGUGUGAAGCUUACAAGGGCACAGGUGUUGCAAGUGUUCAGGUGGUGAUAAAAUGUUGACUUGCUGCCCUCCGGCAAAGCACUCUUAUCCAGCGAAACACGACUUCCUUUUGCAAGAGUUCUCCAGAUUUACUGUGUUUCUUGCUCAUACAGAAAUGCAGUUAAAUUCACCUGAAGAUUUACGUGGAAAGAGAGAAUGAAUUUGUACAUUGAUGAAUAAUUCACCCUAAGUUUUCCUGUGCCUAGGUCUCAGAGUCAUCCCUUGCCCUUGGCAUGACUUGCAUUUAAUAGUUUGUCAAGAAGUGAAAAAAGGCAAGAAAAUAAAUUGUAAGAAAAUACUAGAGCAACUUUGUGACAUCCGUGUCUUUCAUGGAAAUACUCAUGGUUUCCUUGUGUUCAAGGUUAUUCCUAUAUCCAACUGCUAUUUAUGUUUCUUCAUGUUUAAUAUGUACUUACCAAAGCACUGUAAAUGUAUUUCUUGUAUAACUCCAGUCUCAAGAUACAUGGUAUAGGCUUGACUUGGGUUAAUAUGUGUGCAUUUAAAUGAUAACUGUCAUAUUGUGACAACAAAUGCUGCUCUUGUUCUGGUAAACUUGGAUAAUUUGGUAAUACAGUUGAAGAGCUCUUGGAUUUUAGUAAUUUGUUUGAAAUUGCUGGCCACAGAGAGAAUACUCAAAGCUAUAUAAAUAGUAAUUUCUAUAAGUUUUGGGGUUUGUUUUUUGUUGGUUUUUUUUUAAUACCUUACAGGAAAUAUUAACUACACAAGUAUCUUGUAUAUUGUGUCCAUCUUUAUUUCACUCUUGCUGGUUUUUGCACAUGUACCUGUAGGGUCCAUAGGGGAGAAUUGAAGGGGUUUUGUCUUCUCUCUGUAGUGUGUGAUGACUUUGCACUGAAUGAAGUAUGCCUUAGAUCUGAUCUUGGAGUGAAAGCAUAAUUAUGAAAACAUCUUAAUGCCAGCCUUUUUUCCCCCAAAAAUUAAGAAAUCACAAAGACAUAGAUUUAACUGAUGGGUUUGAGGGGAAUUAAGACUUGUGACCACAAAGUUUUUAAUUGGCAAGCAAUUGGCAAAUGGUAGAAAAUGCUGUGAAGAAAUGAUUCUGUAUAACCUUUGUAAUCAUUUUACCCUCUAUCUCUCCUGUGCUGGCAUGAUCAUGAAAAUAAGCAUUCAAAAUGUCUGAUGUGGUGGUGGUGGAUGAAGAGGGAGUAAGAAACCCUUGAGGUUUUCAUCACUGUGAAAUACAUUAACUUUUAUUUCUACAGAAUUAAAUAAAUUUUAACUUAGUGGCUUUAUAUUUGAUAUGGAAGUAACUAAACUGCCUGUUCAGCAUGUCUUUGGAAAUCUCACAUGGGGGCACUUCUGAGACAGAGAUGAAAGGAACAGGUCUUGCUGUUUAUUAAAAAUAAGAAAAACAGUGCCCUAAACCAUGAAUGCCUUUUGUGUAAUCAGAUGUAUGAAAAACAAAUCAUUAAAAUACAACCAAACCUUGAACAGUGGUGGUGUUUUGCAAAAAAAAAGAAAAAAAGAAAAAAAAGAAAAAAAAAAUUGUAAUCCAGGGAUUUGCUUUUAAUUAU